rnacentral:lncRNA from 1 species
AAACCUUUUGACCCCUGACAGCAACAUUGAACCGUGGGUAAGAACCAUACUGAGUUCCUUUACUUUGUAUUAGUUCUUCAACCCGAGCUCGUUCUUUCUUGGCAAUGUCUACAUAGUUUGGUGGAGGAUCUAUCGGAACAGGUGACUUUUCAUUAGCCUACAAGAGGUUAAGUUAUGAACAGUAAAUGGACUAAUUCAUCAAUCAACACCAACGAUUCAAUUUUUGUUGUUACUGUGUUGUGCUACAAAACCUGAUCAGAUUCAGCAUAAGCUACUCCUAUUGCUCCAAAACUAAAGAGAGCACCAAAAAAUGCAGGUGCCAUGGAAAAGCAUGGAGAAUCGUUUAAGGUGCUGCAAGAUCUCAAGACUUGAUUUGCUUUUGAAUUACUCUGCUCAAAGGUUCCUGCAAAACCAAAGACGCAAUUUUUACUAAGACAAAAAGAUCAAAGACGUCGUAAUUUCAAGUAAAACAACAAAAAAAAUCAAAACUUUAAUGCAAG